GAUGAAGAACGUAGCGAAAUGCGAUACGUAAUGUGAAUUGCAGAAUUACGUGAAUCAUCGAAUCUUUGAACGCACAUUGCGCCCCCUGGCAUUCCGGGGGGCAUGCCUGUCCGAGCGUCAUUUCUGCCCUCCAGCCCGGCUGGGUGUUGGGCGCUGUCCCCCCGGGGACACGCCCCAAAGGCAGUGGCGGCGCCGCGUCGGGUCCUCGAGCGUAUGGGGCUUUGUCACCCGCUCGGGACGGACUCGUCGGCGCUGGUCUUCCUCCAGGCGACCCUUCGGGGCUCGUCUUCCUUCGGUUGACCUCGGAUCAGGUAGGGUUACCCGCUGAACUUAAGCAUAUCAAUAAGCGGAGGA
rnacentral:misc_RNA from 1 species